UAUACAGGUUGUUGCAUGGCUGUCGUCAGCUCGUGUCGUGAGAUGUUCGGUUAAGUCCGCUAACGAGCGCAACCCUCGUCGUAUGUUAUAUGUGUCAUACGAGACUGCCGGUAAAAGCCGGAGGAAGGUGAGGAUGAUGCCAAGUCAGCAUGACCUUUAUAUCCAGGGCUACACACACGCUACAAUGGUCUGUACAAUGGGUAGCCAAGCCGCGAGGCGGAGCCAAUCCUGAAAGCAGGCCUCAGUUCAGAUUGCAGUCUGCAACUCGACUGCAUGAAGCCGGAGUUGCUAGUAACCGCAGGUCAGCAAUACUGCGGUGAAUACGUUCCCGGGUCGUU
rnacentral:rRNA from 1 species